rnacentral:rRNA from 1 species
AUUGAACGCUGGCGGCAGGCUUAACACAUGCAAGUCGAACGAGUGGCGGACGGGUGAGUAAUGCUUGGGAAUCUAGCUUAUGGAGGGGGAUAACUACGGGAAACUGUAGCUAAUACCGCGUACCAUAGGAUGAACCCAUAUGGGCUUAGCUAGUAGGGUGGGUAAAGGCUCACCUAGGCGACGAUAUCUAGCUGGUCUGAGAGGAUGAUCAGCCACACUGGGAUUGAGACACGGCCCAGACUCUUACGGGAGGCAGCAGUGGGGAAUAUUGCACAAUGGGCGCAAGCCUGAUGCAGCCAGGCCGCGUGUAUGAAGAAGGCCUUAGGGUUGUAAAGUACUUUCAGUCGGGAGGCGUUACCUACAGAAGAAGCACCGGCUAACUCCGUGCCAGCAGCCGCGGUAAUUC